UACGAAGGGGGCUAGCGUUGCUCGGAAUCACUGGGCGUAAAGGGUGCGUAGGCGGGUUUUUAAGUCAGGGGUGAAAUCCUGGAGCUCAACUCCAGAACUGCCUUUGAUACUGGCGAUCUCGAGUCCGGGAGAGGUGAGUGGAACUGCGAGUGUAGAGGUGAAAUUCGUAGAUAUUCGCAAGAACACCAGUGGCGAAGGCGGCUCACUGGCCCGGUACUGACGCUGAGGUGCGAAAGCGUGGGGAGCAAACGGG
rnacentral:rRNA from 1 species